rnacentral:lncRNA from 1 species
CAUGUGUGGGCUAUACCCAGCAGUGCACUCUGUAUUCUGUGCAGUUAAUUACAUUUAACGUACCAUGAAUUUCCCUGGAAUGCACCCACUUUCCCCAUCUCCACAGACGUGCCUUCCAGGGCACUGCUCACAUGCUGGUCGGUAGCAUCCCCUCCAUUCCCCCUGGGGGUGUUGGUGGAACUCUCGAGAAGCUCUCGCCAGAGACCUCCUCACCAGCCCAGCCCUCCCGUGCUGGCUCCUCACCUUCUGUGCCGUCCCCAUGGGGGCGAGGUCUCCUACGGAUCUGGAAAGGGACAUGGACAUGUGCUGUUGGUGGGCUGUAGAAUGUGGGGGCUAUUGAAUCUUGUGCCUCAUUUGGAAUUUUCAGUGUAUUAUUGUCAUCGUUUUAUUUUGAGGGAUGGCAGAACAGUGCCGUGUUACUUCAGAGGAGCUUGUUCUCCCCUUGCUUUUGAGUGAUGUACAAGUUCUUACGUAUUAGAAAAGAGUAAUUCUAUUAUUGUUUUCUUUCUUUUAACAGUAGUGGCAGGCACAGUGUGCAUUUUGGGUUACAAGCCAUUGCUUGUUGGACUUCUCUGCCAGCCUCUUUACUCAAUUCUCACCGUCCCGGAGCAGAGAACUUCAUUAGAGAAGUAGUGAGACUUUUUCAGUUUCAAAAAUUUAGGUCAGUGCCAGAUCUUCAGCAUCCUUUGUUUGAAGGCAACAGAAACAGGCUCAGCUGAUUGGUGUCAGUUAUUGGAAGCUCAUGGAAUUGAAGAAAAAAAGCGUGGAAAGUCAAAUAACGUGGAGUCUUCCGUUUCAACUGAAGGAGGGCCAGGGACAAAGCAGGUGAUCUUAGAUGCCCCAGGGACCCAGAAGCCAGGCUCAAAGGCUCAGUCCCCACCCUCCUGAACACAGGCACUCUCAAUCAGCUGGCUGAGUUCCUUGUUUGAAGACACUGGAAGACGGAUUCACUGCAGAGGCCCCUGACAGUGACUGAUUGUCCACUGAGAGGCAGUUGUAUAAGAUCAAUGUCAUUCACAAGAGAAGCAAGGAGAAACACACAGCUUUCUAGACACUGGACCGUUUAGUUGUUACAAGCAUACGUACAUUUUAUAAAACAGUAAUUAUAUUGUAGAUAUGGUUUUUAUCCUCAUAGUUAUUUUUGUACAAUUAUGAAAUGCA